AUCGCUUCUCGGCCUUUUGGCUAAGAUCAAGUGUGAAAGGUCAACCAGGUUUCCUUUCCUGACUGAAAUUUUCUUAUGUGCUUAUGAUUAUACAAUAUCCCAAUGGCACAGCCCUUUUGACAGCACUUUUCACAAGCAGAUUGUAGCUAUC
ensembl:snRNA LOC120098025 U2 spliceosomal RNA